rnacentral:rRNA from 1 species
GUGGUGCAUGGUUGUCGUCAGCUCGUGUCGUGAGAUGUUGGGUUAAGUCCCGCAACGAGCGCAACCCCUACCCCCAGUAGCCAGCGCGUGGAGGCGGGCACUCUGUGGGGGCUGCCAGGGACAACCUGGAGGAAGGCGGGGAUGACGUCAAAUCAUCAUGCCCCUUAUGGCUUGGGCUACACACGUGCUACAAUGGCGUUAACAGAGGGAUGCGAUGCGGCGACGCGGAGCGAACCCCAGAAACAGCGCCCCAGUUCGGAUUGCAGCCUGCAACUCGGCUGCAUGAAGCCGGAAUCGCUAGUAAUCGUGGAUCAGAAUGCCGCGGUGAAUACGUUCCCGGGUCUUGUACACACCGCCCGUCACACCAUGGGAGUUGGGAAUGCCCGAAGUCAGUGGCCCAACCGUAAGGGGGGAGCUGCCGAAGGCAGAUCCGAUGACUGGGGUGAAGUCGUAACAGGGUAGCCGUAUCGGAAGGUGCGGUUGGAUCACCUCCG